AAAGGAUUGGCACGUCCGCGAAGUGAAAAUUCAGGUAAAAGAAUUACGAGUAAGAACGGAACGAUUGUACAUGGCAGUAGUUGAGAGGUGAAAAGAAGAAUCAAUCCCAAUGGAUGGAUCCCCCGGUCCGGAAGUGCGGUUAACUCCAGAGAAAGCGACAUGAAAAUUUCACUUUCAUGAAAAAGACUCACCAGCCCCCGGUGAUUUAUAGACGAAGGUCCUGCAAGAAGACUCAUCUCUGCCGGUAGAAAACACGAGUAAUCCGAAUGGAGCCAGGCACGCGAUGCCAUUUGCCAAGAGAGGAUCAGACCUUUACCGGUGCAACGUGUUUCGCUCUAGUUUUACCAACGUCGGGUCUCAAGGACUUACGAGGGAAAGGUAUAAACAUAAAAUGCAGAGGUGCGUUGCCAUGCAUCCCCGAAUGUUGGACUGACUUACUCCGAAUUUAUAAGUUCAUUAUUCUUCAAACUUACAAUUCCAAAAACUGAUAGCAGAGACUGAAAAUGAAUUGAUGAAGAAGAAUUUAAUGCCAGUCAUGAUGAAUUAUUUAUUUAUCAAGUAAUAUCGCACUCCAAAAUAACGUGUAAAUACAAGAACGACUUUGGAAUACCCACUACAAAUUCACAUUGCAAUUACAAGAUGAGACGCUUAGUGAAAGUAGGAUAUGUACGACUUGUGCCUCUAGAAGUACUUCCACAGAGGCACCAUAUAGUCACUGGAGAUGCUCCCCGUCGCUGUUUUUAUUAGCACUCAGUGGUAAUAAAGUUGCAGAAAUAAAAAAAAUCGCAUACAGAGAGAAAUGUACACUUCUUAUGAUCAAAGCCG